rnacentral:rRNA from 1 species
GUGAGUAGUUCAGAGUUUGAUCCUGGCUCAGGAUGAACGCUAGCUACAGGCUUAACACAUGCAAGUCGAGGGGUAGCACGGAGGAAGCUUGCUUCCUUGGGUGACGACCGGCGCACGGGUGAGUAACGCGUAUCCGACCUACCCAUUACUCGGGCACAGCCGCUCGAAAGAGUGAUUGAUUCCCGAUAUGUCCUUGGAGUAGAUUCAAUGAUGAAAGAUUUAUCGGUAAUGGAUGGGGAUGCGUAAGAUUAGGUAGUAGGCGGGGUAACGGCCCACCUAGCCGACGAUCUUUAGGGGUUCUGAGAGGAAGGUCCCCCACACUGGUACUGAGACACGGACCAG